rnacentral:rRNA from 1 species
UACAGAGGUCCCAAGCGUUGUUCGGAUUCAUUGGGCGUAAAGGGCGCGUAGGCGGCCUGCUAAGUCGAACGUGAAAUCCCUGGGCUCAACCCAGGAACUGCGUCCGAUACUGGUUGGCUUGAAUCCGGGAGAGGGACGUGGAAUUCCAGGUGUAGCGGUGAAAUGCGUAGAUAUCUGGAGGAACACCGGUGGCGAAGGCGACGUCCUGGACCGGCAUUGACGCUGAGGCGCGAAAGCCAGGGGAGCAAACGGG